rnacentral:lncRNA from 1 species
CCCAGAUAGUUACUGCAGUACACACCUGGGAUUUUCCUCUUUCUUUCUGCAAGUAAGAUAUCUUUGGUAUCCUGUUCUAUGAUUAGUUCUGUAACUUGGUAAGAAAUACUUUAUCAGCUGCAAGUGGAGAGUAAGAUGUGUGUUAUCCGGAAGGACCAGAAAGUUUUCCUUUGGAGGAUGAAAAUGACUGGUCAUUCCACAGUUGAGGAAGAUUUUCUCUGGCUAACAGGCCUGUGUGACAUAUUGCACCUUGAUCAGAGAUGUGGUUGACGCUGCUGAGGCUUCCCAGCACCUGAAGAAAUGCAAGAUUAUCUCUACUGUCCUCUCUGUUUUAGUCUUAGCUCAAGUAAGUGGUAUUUUAUGUGAUAUUUGAGAGUCUGAGUGCCUUUCUUACUAGCACCACCUGCUGCAAAACAAUCAUCUUGUUUACCUGCCAGAACUAUGCCACUUGCAGUGUUCUAUUUUUGUUCUGAUGAUGUGGUUAAAUGAAGGCUAAAACUGGACAAAAGUGAGUAUCUUUUUGUUUGUUUGCUUUGUUUGUUAUGUAUCUUGAAUGCAGGAUUGUAAUGGUUUGGCUUAAAAUCCAUGAGAAUGAAACCUUACCUUGACCAUGACCUA